UAGGGAAUCUUCCACAAUGGACGCAAGUCUGAUGGAGCAACGCCGCGUGAGUGAAGAAGGUUUUCGGAUCGUAAAGCUCUGUUGUUGGUGAAGAAGGAUAGAGGCAGUAACUGGUCUUUAUUUGACGGUAAUCAACCAGAAAGUCACGGCUAACUACGUGCCAGCAGCCGCGGUAAUACGUAGGUGGCAAGCGUUGUCCGGAUUUAUUGGGCGUAAAGCGAGCGCAGGCGGAAUGAUAAGUCUGAUGUGAAAGCCCACGGCUCAACCGUGGAACUGCAUCGGAAACUGUCAUUCUUGAGUGCAGAAGAGGAGAGUGGAACUCCAUGUGUAGCGGUGGAAUGCGUAGAUAUAUGGAAGAACACCAGUGGCGAAGGCGGCUCUCUGGUCUGCAACUGACGCUGAGGCUCGAAAGCAUGGGUAGCGAACAGGAUUAGAUACCCUGGUAGUCCAUGCCGUAAACGAUGAGCGCUAGGUGUUGGGGACUUUCCGGUCCUCAGUGCCGCAGCAAACG
rnacentral:rRNA from 1 species